AUGGCCUCAUCUAUUAAGGAAAUAUUGAUUAAAUCUGUGGUCAAGGCUAUUCCCACUUAUGUUAUGAGUGUUUUCAAACUUUCGUAUUCUAUGUGUGACGACCUCACAAGAAUGAUGCGGCAAUAUUGGUGGGGAGUUGAGAAUGGAAGAAGGAAAAUGGCUUGGGUUUCUUGGGACAAGCUUGUCUUACCAAAACAAAAGGGUGGUCUUGAUUUUAGAGAUAUGAGAGCAUUCAAUCAAGCAUUGCUGGCUAAACAGGCUUGGAGACUUAUUGAUCAACCGGAUAGCCUUUGUGCAAGGCUGUUGCGAGCUAGGUAUUAUCGUAAUGGAAAUCUUGGGGAUACAGUUUUUUCAGGCAACGCAUCCGCGGUUUGGCGUGGUAUUGAACAUGGGCUGGAGUUAUUGAAAAAAGGUAUCAUUUGUCGUGUUGGUAAUGGAAUUUCGAUUCGGACUUGGCGGGACCCAUGGAUUCCAAGGGGUCCAUCAUUUCGUCCAAUUACGCCAAAACAUCAUUGCAGACUCAAUAGAGUAUCAGACUUCUUGGAUAUUCAUGGUGUUUGGAGACUGGAUUUAUUGCAGCAACACUUCCUUCCUGCUGAUGUUGUGGCCAUUCAUAAAAUCCGUACCUCACCACCGCAGCAGCAGGACUUCCUCGCAUGGCAAUCAGAUCCCAAAGGGCUGUUCAGUGUCCGUAGUGCGGACAAGCUAGUGAUGGUACAUCAUGAGGAAGCUUUUACAGAAGGUGCGUCGAGCGCAAGUCCUAAUGGUGAGAGGAAAAUCUGGAAUUUAAUUUGGCAUGCGGAUGUUCCGCACAGGAUGAGGUUGAAUGCCUGGAAGGCUGCAGCUGGUGCGCUAGCUACCAUGCAAUGCAAACGGGCUUGUCACCUGCAGUGCCGGCUUACAUGUCAACUGUGUGGCAUAGCUGACGAGGACACUUACCAUGCACUUGUAGCAUGUGAGAAUGCUUCAAAGUUGUGGGAUGCUAUGGGGGAGAUUUGGCCAAUACCCCCAAAGGAGCACCUGGAUGCUAUGGACUACCUCAAUUCCGUCGCUGAUUCCCUUCCGGCGACUGUUGUCCGACCGCGUCCACCUGAUCCACCUUGGGUACCGCCACCUUCCGGCUGGCUGGCCCUGUCAGUGGAUGGCUCUUUCUUGCCGGAUGACGGUACAGCCGGUGCAGGCAUGGUCCUCAGGAAGUGUACAGGUGAAGUUAUUCUUGCUGCAUGCCGUUUGCUGUUCUUCUGCAAUGAUGCACUUGAAGCGAAGAUACAGGCAAUCCGGGAAGGGAUGUCUCUAGUCCUCCAAUGGUCUAAUCUUCCGGUGAUGGUGCAGUCAGACUCUAUGGAAGCUCUUUCAUCUUUGUCUAAUGCUUCCCUGGCCAAGUCGCCUAAUGGCCAUCUGGUCGAUGAAAUCAAGUCGCUCCUUCUAGAGCGGGAGUUUAUUCCGGUUAAGAUAACUCGUUCUCAAAAUAGGGUAUCACAUUGUCUAGCUAAAUGCUCAUACGGCUUGUAG
rnacentral:rRNA from 1 species